AGUGAACGCUGGCGGUAGGCCUAACACAUGCAAGUCGAACGGCAGCACAGUAAUAGCUUGCUCUUACGGGUGGCGAGUGGCGGACGGGUGAGGAAUACAUCCUAAUCUACCUUUUCGUGGGGGAUAACGUAGGUAAACUUACGCUCAUACCGCAUACGACCUACGGUUGAAAGCAUUGGAUCUUCGGACCUUGCGCGAUUGAAUGAGCCGAUGUCGGAUUAGCUAGUUGGCGGGGUAAAGGCCCACCAAGGCGACGAUCCGUAGCUGGUCUGAGAGGAUGAUCAGCCACACGGGAAAUGAGACACGGUCAAGACUCCUACGGGAGGCAGCAGUGGGGAAUAUUGGACAAUGGGCGCAAGCCUGAUCCAGCCAUACCGCGUGGGUGAAGAAGGCCUUCGGGUUGUAAAGACCUUUUGUUGGGAAAGAAAAGCAGCAGGUUAAUACCCCGCUGUUCUGACGGUACCCAAAGAAUAAGCACCGGCUAACUUCGUG
rnacentral:rRNA from 1 species